rnacentral:tRNA from 1 species
GGAGAGGUGUCAGAGUGGUCGAUCGUGCAGUCCUGGAAAGACUGUCUGCGUGAUGAGCGCAGCGAGGGUUCGAAUCCCUCCCUCUCCG